UACGAAGGGGGCUAGCGUUGCUCGGAAUCACUGGGCGUAAAGGGUGCGUAGGCGGGUUUUAAGUCAGAGGUGAAAUCCUGGAGCUCAACUCCAGAACUGCCUUUGAUACUGAAAGUCUUGAGUAUGGGAGAGGUGAGUGGAACUGCGAGUGUAGAGGUGAAAUUCGUAGAUAUUCGCAAGAACACCAGUGGCGAAGGCGGCUCACGUGGCCCAUAACUGACGCUGAGGAGCGAAAGCGUGGGGAGCGAACAGG
rnacentral:rRNA from 1 species